UCCGUGAGCACUUGCAUGGUACCUCAAGAGACUCACGGCUAUUUAUUGUGAUGCCUGAGAAAGUGCCGGACAUUCUGCUUAAAUUAAACCUAUCUGGAUUUACGUGCCCAUGAACAGAAACGCUUAACUGUAAUGGUUAUGUCAGUAUCUGUGCAAUUUAGGGAUGCUUUUCAGAUAUAAGCAAACAAACAAAAACUGUUACCAGAGUAACAGAGUAAGUCAUUUAACAGAAUAAGUCAGUUAAAAUGUAAAGUAAGAUAAUUACAGAAUUCUAAAUAUGAUUGAAUUUGUGAUAAAAUGAAGGCCCAUCUGAUGAUUCUGUGAUUGGUGAAAAAGAACUGUCUCCUCUUUAUUUCUCUUUGUAGGCAUAGACGUGAGCGUUGAUUUUUGCUCUUAAGAUAAACUUUUGUUCUGCAGAAAUGGAUGCAGCUUGCAGCCAGGAAAGGAGUUCUGCCUUGAGCAGUCCUAUUUGAGUUGCGCUCUAAGGAUUUUCAGAGUUUUGAAGAAAGAGUAUUUCCUUCCUUCCUUCUCCCUUUCUUUUUCUGUCAGAUGAAUACGCAUCUGUCAUCCUCCCAUUCCUCUCUGCCAUGAAAAAUAUGAAUUUAAUUUAAUUGGAACUGAAAUUGAAACCAAGACUUUCACGCAAUCACAAACCCUUAGAAAAAGCUGCCAGAACUGCUCCCACUGUGCAAACUACAGAAGCCUCAGAUGAAGUGAAAGUCAUCCCUUAAUCAGCUGCCUUAUACAACUUUCAGCCACCUGUGCUACAGAUCUGGGAAGGAGGUAAGCAGUUGGGGCCAUCUCUAGGUGUCGGCACCUCGUUGUGUUUCAGAAUAUAGGCAUGCUCCGGGUGUACAAAACUUGGUUAACCCAGUAAUGAUAAAGCUGAAAAGGAUAUAUGGUAACGGCUUUGCAUACAGCAGAGAAAUAGAGGAAAGGCCAUUCCAUUUAAAGAUCGAUGCUACAUGAAAAAGACCAUUUCAGACCAAUCUAAAAUUUAAGGGGCUAAUUAGAAGGCUUUUUUUUUUUUUUAAUUGCCAAGCACUUUGGGGAAAAAAAAAAAAAAGUUGUCAUUCAUCUGAAGCACUGAGUCACCCUUCAGGCACUCAGUGGAGAUAAACUUCUCAACUGCCAGAAAAACUGCUGGACCUUUUGGUACAAAAGAUCAUCCUCUUAAGGAUACUUAGUGGCUGGGUAGCAGUCUCCUGUGUAAGUGUAUCCUAGUAAUUAUAGCAUGAAGUUGUACUAAUCACUCCUAAUAGAGAUGGACUGUUCCUCCUGCUGUGUCCGUCACUGCUUCCAGAUGAGAACUAUCCCAACAACUUGGGAUUAGCAAAAACACUUGUUAUACUAUUAGCUUCAUAACUUUAUUAAUCUUUGAUUAUAGAACAGAUGGAUCAAUCUUAAUCAUUCUACAAUGGAAGAUUAAAUAGCUUAAAUUAUAUCAAUCAUAUUUAAGUCUUUACCUAAUAAAACAACAAUUUAAGUUGGGUCAUCAGUAGGGCUUGAACCCAGGGCCUUCAGAUUAGCAGCCAGGACUUCCUCCAUUAAAAGAGUAAACCCAUUAGCUGCUUGCUGUUGUACACUUGUAUCUAUGUACACUGGCCAUUAAAAGAUAUGACUCACGCUGUGCCAGUGGAUUACACAUUGAAUGUUGGGAUUAAGAAUUCCUAGGUUCCAUUUGUGCCUCUCAGAAGGAGUUUUGCUCAUGAAAUAGAGUGGGCAGUGAGAUAUGGGUCAGCUGCUGACAACGUUUAGCUGUAGAUUUACGCAAAAUAAGGAUUCUUGUAUCUAAAGAUGCCUGAUUCAGGUAUGUUGGGCUUAAAGACAUGUAAGAGCUUAACAGUCAGAUUUGGCGUAUGUACUUUGAGAUCCAGAAGAAAAAGAGAAUUAUAGACUCCCCAUCCUGUCAUUAUAAGGUGGAGGUAACUAUGGGAAUACGGUAAAUAAUGUAGGGAUUGCUAACAGUAUAUUGUUUUGUCAUCUAGUUCAGGUUAACUGGCACACCGUAAGCAAGAGGUUUUGGAGGACUUUCUAUCUUUGCAUCAUUCACUGUCCAUUGCCUAAACCUCAGGUAACCUCAGACACCCUCUGUGACCUCCCUGGGGUCAACACUGAUUUGUACUGACCCAGAAUCCUAACUGUAGCUUGUCAGUGCCCUCUACCUGCCACCUUGUCAGAGACAACACAGAACUUUACUGAAGGUAGAAAAUGAUAUAGCUGACUGGAGAUAAUAUUUAAUGACAGAUCCAGUGGAGAAUGGCUCAACAAAUUUAAUGUGAAAAAAGAUCCUCAACCUUAACUCUAAAUUGGAAUGCACUGUGUUUAUAAUGCAAUCCUUCUGCAAGCUGCGCUUCAAAGACUGCACACAGAGAAUGGCUUUGCUAGUAUCUGUAAAGAGAGAUGGACUUAUAAGAACAAAUGGCUAUUGCUCGAAACUACUAAUUCCUGAUCUUUUUUUUUUCCUAUUGCAUCAUUUGGCUUCCUUGGUGGGUCUGAAGCCACGUUGAGCUCUGGUUAACUCUGGAAAACUUCCAACAGAAGGUACCAUUGCACAUUAGCUCCACAGCUGUAAAUUAAGCACCGUAAUUCUGCAAACUUUGCAAAUUUACAUAUCAGUCUUCUUCAAAACUUUACCUGCAUACUUAAGAUUAAAAUUUUAUUUGGAGAUGUCAUUUCAUUUUGCUGUGAAUCAGUACAUCAGCUCUUCUAUAAGUGCACUCAGUUGCUCCCCGAAGAGAGAGAAACUUAGCAGUGGUGUUUAUAUUUCCUGCUCAUUACACUGUAAAAACCCUUGGAGAACUGAUACAUUGAUUAGCACAAGUCAGGAGUGCAUCUUUGACUUGAUCAAUACAUUUGUGUGUUGCAGACUGGCUAAUGGCGGGUGUCAGAGUGACCACCUGUUUGAAAUAAUUGCAGCAUACAAGCAUUAACCUAUUGAAAGAGUGCAUUUAUUGGGCACAAAGAAAAAUUUAUGACCUUCAACUACAAAGUCUGUGCAAUAACAGUGACUGCCAAGUAGAGGAGAGAUAGUUUAGCUAUAUUAAAAUAGGUAAAUCUGGAGUCUGGGGUUUGCUCCAGGUAUUUAAAGACCUGAGCAGAGCAUAAUGAAGGAACAGAUGUACCACUUGAAGCCAGUAUGGUACAUGAGUAGCCUCAAAGGAGCGCUGGAACAUAGAAUGAGAAAAGGUACAACAGUGAUCAAAACUAGAUAUCCAAAUGUUCAGAAAAUAUACAAGUCUGCUUACACACUCCUCCCUAUGGGGUCUCCAAAGCAGGAUGUAGAUGUGCCAUAACUUCAUGUCACUCACUCAAAAUAAGGUACGUUUUAUGCUGUUGUAAAUGAUUUUAUUUUCAAAACAGCUUUUCCAGUUGACCUGCAAUGCUUUGCAGACUGUUUUUAAGUACUCUGGUACUUCUCACUAGCAACAUUUUUCAUUUUAAAGUCAGAAAAUGGAAGAGGAGGUUCUUUCUCUACUUUUUUAAUCCUAUAACUGGUAGAUAAAAUUAUCUCUUAAUCUAGAGAUUAAGUUAGGUUCCCUUAUUCGCGUGCAAGAAUGAUACGUUUUUCGGAAAAGCAUCAUCUACCAUUGUGAGCUUAUACUAGGAUGAACUGUUUUCUACUGCUGCAGAUAUACUCCAAAUAGCGUGCUUACAUCCAUUACAGGAGACAUUAUUAUCUGAUAUCUCCACAUUUCAUUUGGUAGAAGUAAUGUCCAACUUCUGCUACUCCACGGAACAAAUAUGCAUGACAUUCAAAGCAGGACAAAGGAUGCUCAGAACAGCAAAGGCACACAGAGCUCUAAGGAACAUAGCGCGGCCAGACCAGACCUUCUCACUGGCCGUGCUUGGAGGGGAGAAGAGAUGGCCAAAUGCGUCGAGCCACAUGGAGAUUUGGGGAAUGACUUCCAAAACCAGCUGGCCUAUGUUGGACUGAGCUACCUUAGAUACCAAAUGUAUGGCUUUAGGGCUGAGUCCUGAAAUUCUAGAACUGCCUUGGCUGAAUCACUAAGACCUGGGAAACAUGAACUACGGAAGAUGAGUCACUACAAGCAAGUUCAUGCUCCAGUGCUUGCACCCUGAGUGUCCCAACUUCCUUCGGAAGGGUCUGACCUUAAAUGUAGAGCUAUUUGAUCUGAAAUCAACUCCAUUUUUUAUUGCCGCAAGAGGAUCUCUUUUCAUUUUUUGGAGUAGCUAAGCUACUUUCUUUCUGGAGCUGUUCAAGGCCGGGCUCAGAGACCAUAACGUUCAGGUUUUUUCUGUCCCAGUCAGUUGAAUCACACUGCCACUAUAAAGAAGAAAGGCUAGGACUUACUUAAUGAUCUCAAUUUUUACUCUGAUUAGCAUGAGAACUUUGCAUCUAAGUUUGUCGCAUGUUUUUAACGGACAGAAGUACUUGAGGUCAUUCUACGUAACUUAAUGCAUUAGUAUUUUCUAUUAGUUUGAUGGAGUUAAAACCUGGGCUUGAAAGGAGCCUUGUUAAUUAGAAGUCAAGUGCUAUCACCUGACUUCACCUAGCACCUUGAUUUAGUCCUUGAAAUAAGGCUGAAUGAGGAACAGCAGUCCUAAAAUCUUAUAUAAGAGAAGCUGGUCAGAGGGCUUGGUCCUCCUAUUAAAAUGAGAUAGUAGUGCUAUGAAAGUGUUAAGUAGUUUUUUUCUUGUUCAAUUUCUGUUGUGCUGAGUAUGCAGAAAAGAGAAUGUGUUCUUCUAAGGAUUCUGGGAAGUGUUUUUAAGUGUUUUUCUAACAUAUCUAGAGAAGUCUGAAAACAUUUUAUUUACCAAGGACUAAGACUGGUAAGAGUGUUUUUGUUUUUUAACUUCCACAAAUAACCUAAUAUUCUUUUUGAAACUUAUUAGAAUAUUAUUCGUUUUUUAAAGUGUCCUAUCAUCUUACAGAGGUUAGCUAUAUCAAGAAACAGGAAUUGACCUGAAUAUGUUUUCUUAAAAACUAUUUGACUUCAAGGUGCUAAUGCUGUAACACAGAAAAUCAAAGUAGUGCUGUUAUUAACAGUAACUGAUAUUGCAGUGUGCAAUUUUAAAAGUCUUUAAACAAUGAUUA